rnacentral:misc_RNA from 1 species
GAAAUGCGAUAAGUAAUGUGAAUUGCAGAAUUCAGUGAAUCAUCGAAUCUUUGAACGCACCUUGCGCUCCUUGGUAUUCCGAGGAGCAUGCCUGUUUGAGUGUCAUGGAAUUCUCAACUCUAUUUGCUUUUGUGAAUAGAGCUUGGAUUUGGAGGUUUAUUGCUGGUACUUGUGAUCGGCUCCUCUUGAAUGCAUUAGCUCGAACCUUUGCGGAUCAGCUAUCGGUGUGAUAAUUGUCUACGCCGUUGCAGUGAAGCAUAUCAAUGGGCUCGGCUUCCAAUCGUCCUUUACUGGACAAUGACUAUGACCUUUGACCUCAAAUCAGGUAGGAUUACCCGCUGAACUUAAGC